rnacentral:rRNA from 1 species
GUAGAUCAGCAUGCUACGGUGAAUACGUUCCCGGGUCUUGUACACACCGCCCGUCACACCACGAGAGUUUGUAACACCCGAAGCCGGUGGAGUAACCUUUUAGGAGCUAGCCGUCGAAGGUGGGACAAAUGAUUGGGGUGAAGUCGUAACAAGGUAGCCGUAUCGGAAGGUGCGGCUGGAUCACCUCCUUU